rnacentral:snRNA from 1 species
AAGUGUUACAGCUCUUUUAGAAAUUGUCGCAGGUCUUCCGGGGCUUGUCGGAAGCACCCCC